AUGAUCAACGUUAAUCAUCGAUGUUAUUACACGGUUUUAACAAUAAUCAAAAUUCAAAGCAUACUAGAAAUUCGUCUAUUUCAUUACUUAAAUAAUCAAACAUUCAUGUAUUUCAUACUUAACAAUUAACAAUUUAUACUUUCAUUGUUUCACAAAUUCACAUCAAUACAUCAUUAUUCAUUGAACUUCUAAUUUGUUACUUUGUUAAUCACUAUUCACUUACUUGUUACUUUGUUAGUUGUUAAUUGGUAGUUUGUCUUAACAUUUUUACAACUUUGCCUUAACAGUUUCACACUAUUCAUGAUCAUCUUUAGAAUCAUCCUUCAUGCUUGUCUUCAAGAAGAUAGGUUGUAUUAUAAUGUAAUUAAUAUCUUAUUAGUGCAAGAGAUUAGAUUAGAUUAGAUUGAUUGUGUGUCAUUAAUAACUAAUUGAAUUUUUAAACUUUUUAUUGUAUAUUAAUUUUUAACAAUAAGUCAAUAAUACUAAUUUUUAAAGUUAACUAAACCAUUAAUAAUAGAAUGAUUAAUUUAAAAUUCUCAAAUCAAAAUAGUAUCAAAUUAAUCAAAAUGACAAAAUUAAGGUCAUUGAUUUGUGAGAAGAUCAACAUGAACAAAACCCAACCAUUGAUCAAAAUACAACAAUCCAUGUGCUUGGUGUAACUCAAUGCUCAUUGGUCAAUAGAGUUAGUCAUGGAUCCCUCUUGAAUGAGCAAAUCUCAGCCCUUUAUUAGAGAAAGACCAAAUCUAAGCCCUUCAUUUAUGAUUUAAUUUUCUGAAAAUAAAAAAGAAAUUCACCCUAAAUUCAUAAGAGAAAAUCUCAACCCUUCAAUCUUUUCAUCCAACGGAUAAAAACACCCUAAAAAUCCCUAACAUUGGACAAUCUCAGUUUGGAGCCGCCACAAAAGUUAAACCCUGAUCAAAUAUCAGUUUCUCUUUCAUGAAUUCCCUUCUUCAGUUGCCCUCCUAUGCCAAAACAAGUUUCAAUAAAUACAAAGCAUCCAAAAAAAACCAGCAAAGAAAAUGCAUGGCAUCCAAACAAGAAUUAUAUUCCGUGAAAGGGAAGCAUUGGACAAUCUAAAUACAAAGCAUCCAAACAAGGAUUAGAAGUGUUCAUCCGAUCUCUUUAUCAUUCUUCCCAAAAUGAAAUCUCUCAGAUGGUCUUAAUCUUUUCCUCAUUAUGAUAGAUGAAUCUAGAGAACGGUUUAUAUGCAAAGAUGAAUCCAAAGUAGAUAUCCGAUUAUAUAAAUUCAAGCAAGGGCCUCAUAAACAAAGUGUAGUAGAUGAAGUUUGGCAACUUUGAAGAUGGUGAUGAAAAAAAGACCAAUUAAUUUAUUUUGUGUUAGUUUGAGAUCUAUUCUAAGAAUUUUUUUACUGAUUUUAUUUUUUACUUUUAGAUCUAGUGUAUUUUUUUUUAUAACGAGCGAAUGUAAUAAUUAGUAAGGAAUUUUAAUUACCAAGAUCUACCCAUGCUCUUUUGCAAAGUUCGAAUAUUAGGUUGUUUGUUUGAUUUGAGAUCUGUUAAUCUAUGCUUCAGUUCAUCUUA